CGCAACAGAGUUUGAUCCUGGCUCAGAUUGAACGCUGGCGGCAGGCCUAACACAUGCAAGUCGAGCGGAUGAGUGGAGCUUGCUCCAUGAUUCAGCGGCGGACGGGUGAGUAAUGCCUAGGAAUCUGCCUGGUAGUGGGGGACAACGUUUCGAAAGGAACGCUAAUACCGCAUACGUCCUACGGGAGAAAGUGGGGGAUCUUCGGACCUCACGCUAUCAGAUGAGCCUAGGUCGGAUUAGCUAGUUGGUGAGGUAAAGGCUCACCAAGGCGACGAUCCGUAACUGGUCUGAGAGGAUGAUCAGUCACACUGGAACUGAGACACGGUCCAGACUCCUACGGGAGGCAGCAGUGGGGAAUAUUGGACAAUGGGCGAAAGCCUGAUCCAGCCAUGCCGCGUGUGUGAAGAAGGUCUUCGGAUUGUAAAGCACUUUAAGUUGGGAGGAAGGGCAGUAAGUUAAUACCUUGCUGUUUUGACGUACCAACAGAAUAAGCACCGC
rnacentral:rRNA from 1 species